GUAUAGGUGUGGGUGUGUAAGAUUUGGACCCUCAUAUUUCCUUUGUCCCCCUCUUCCAGAGUAGAUCUCUCUCUCUCUCUCACUCUCACUCUCACUCUCACUCACUCUCUCACUCUCCAUACAAGAACUGGAAUGAAUCACCAGGGCCGGCCUCCCUCAAGAAGGCACAGUGCGGAAUCCAACGCCCAACCUCUGGCUCUAUAACCAGAUUCUCUAAAACACUGAGCUCUCCCCGCAGUUCUUUCCCGACCGCCCCCCCCCAAUUCAAUUCGUGAGCCGAAAUUUUUGUGUGAGAGAAGUAGAAAUCAUAAUGGUUUUUCAGAUAUUUUCCAUAUGCUUCCAUGUGCCUGAAACGGAACAUAAUUAUACAUGUUUUAUUGGUGUUCUGUGGGAACCGUUUUGUUUGUUUGAUUAAAAAGAAGGAUCUUGGUCCGGAAAAACCUUUAGUUUAACCAUCUAGUGACAUCAGUGAUCAAACAAACCUCUGGCUACAACCCUGCACAUCAUUAGCUGAGAUUCGGAUUGAGCUCACUGACCUCUGAGUAGACCUGUAGAGGGUUGUGGAGGCCAAACAGAUAAAAUGAAGAAGAUCCAUAAGUGGCUCUUGGGAAGAUAAAUAGAUAGUAUGUAUGCAAAAUAGCCGUAUAUUUCAGCACAGAAGAAUUAAGUUUUCUUUGGAAGAGGGAUGCUGAGGAAGAUGCGCCUUUGCAUGUGACACCUCCCGAUCUAAGGCUGCAGUCCUGUGCAUACACUGAAAACUGUGGGACUUAAUGAUGAGUAAACAGGCAUGUGGAUGUGUUGCAGGUCGCAUCCUGAACCUGCAGAAGAGGAGGAGGAGGAGAAGAAAAAAGGACCAGGGUUGUAGCAACUAAAAGAGAGGAUUUUGCAUGGACUUCUAGCUAGGUGGGUAGGAGACCUGCCAUGACAGCUGUUGCAGAUGGGAAGAUGGGCAAUCUGAACUUUGGCAGCCUCUCUUACUUAACUAGGUCUGGAAAAAAUGAAACCAAGGCACGUGCUACAGGGAACCAUGCAAUCCACAUACUUGAAGGCAAUGAUGUCAAAUUGCCUGAGAUGGAAAUAGCUGUGAUCUUGAAUGGAAUUUACAGCUGUGUUAGAAAAUGA
rnacentral:lncRNA from 1 species